rnacentral:rRNA from 1 species
CUCGUGUCGUGAGAUGUUGGGUUAAGUCCCGCAACGAGCGCAACCCUUGUUCACUGUUGCCAGCACGUUAUGGUGGGGACUCAGUGGAGACCGCCGGGGUCAACUCGGAGGAAGGUGGGGAUGACGUCAAGUCAUCAUGCCCCUUAUGUCCAGGGCUUCACGCAUGCUACAAUGGCUGGUACAGAGAGUGGCGAGCCUGUGAGGGUGAGCGAAUCUCGGAAAGCCGGUCUCAGUUCGGAUUGGGGUCUGCAACUCGACCUCAUGAAGUCGGAGUCGCUAGUAAUCGCAGAUCAGCAACGCUGCGGUGAAUACGUUCCCGGGGCUUGUACACACCGCCCGU